AUCACACCAUGGUACAAACAGCCGUGGAAAGAGAAACUUCUGAAGCAACUCAAGGAGGAAAUUUCCUCACAACUAUGGAAAUAAUUUGUUAUAUCCCGUAUUUUUGCAUAUUCGGGAAAUUCGAAAUAAUGUUGACUUGUAAGAAAUAAGGCAAAAAAUUUGAUCUUUAUUUAAAAUAUGUGUGUUGUCCAUGAAAUGUUGAUGUGGAAAUAUCGAGGAAGGCUAAGGGCAAAAAUUGGAAUUUUGAAAAUUAGUUUCGGAAAUUACAAAAUAAGACCUAUAUUCAAUUGGACUCAAAAAAAAAAAAAAAAAAACAAGAGGCCCAAUUCAAGGGGGUGGCCGGCCAACCAACUACAUGGCCCAAGUCCACAAUUAAAUGAAAUCCAUGUAUUAUAAAGCAAAGAGGGGACCAUUUAUUCUUCAUCUUACUAGAACAUUCAAGAUCAACAAAAAAAAAAAAAAAAAAGAGCAAGUGAGAGGAAGGGCAUUCGGCCCUAAGAGAAAGAAAGGAAGAAAAAUUGUGGAGCUCAAAUCUUUGGUUCAAACUCAUCUCUUUUGAAUUCCUAUUAAGUUGGAAACCCUCUUCAAUGUGAUACAAAUUUGGAGGCAAGAAAGUACUUUUUUUAUCAAGUGGAAAUUCUUGAAAAAGAUCUUGGAGAACCCGAGACUUGAGUCGGGAUUUAUCUAGUGAGUGAUCGGGAUUUGUUAGCGAGCAAUUGAGGUACAUAAGUUUGUUUUGGUGAUCCUCCGGUAUAGGAUACAUAUUCCGCCACUUGGAGUCCUCCUUUUGAUCCGGAGCUCAUAUUUUGGUACAUAUCUUCUGUUAUACACAUUCAGUAUAUAUGACUAUUUGGGUACGGCGGGGCCCUGUCCCGUCAUAUGUUUCUGUUAUGUUUUGUAGAGGCCUGUAGUCAUAUAUGUGGGUCAUGGGUCAUGUUUGUUCGUUUGUGAUUAUGAUGUGCGUCUUAAUGCGGCCCCGUUUACUAUUAUGGCCAAAACGUCCCAUUUGUCUGUAUAUGUGUAUAUAUAUGGCGAUGGUAUUCCGCCAAUCUAUUGGAUUUGGAUAUGAUGUUUCUGUACGGGCGACCGCUUAAGAUGAUAUUUGUUUUCAGUA